rnacentral:rRNA from 1 species
UACGGAUGGUGCAAGCGUUAUCCGGAUUUACUGGGUUUAAAGGGUGUGUAGGCGGACUUUUAAGUCAGCGGUGAAAUCUCCGGGCUCAACCCGGAAACUGCCAUUGAUACUAUUAGUCUUGAAUAUUGUUGAGGUAGGCGGAACGGGUCAUGUAGCGGUGAAAUGCAUAGAUAUGACCCGGAACACCGAUUGCGAAGGCAGCCUACUAAGCAAUUAUUGACGCCGAGGCACGAAAGCGUGGGGAUCAAACAGG